GUUUUGUUUGUUUUGAGACGGAGUCUCGCUCUGUCGCCCAGGCUGGAGUGCAGUGGCCGGAUCUCAGCUCACUGAAAGCUCCGCCUCCCGGGUUUACGCCCUUCUCCUGCCUCAGCCUCCAGAGUAGCUGGGACUACAGGCACCUGCCACCUCACCCGGCUAGUUUUUUUUUGUUUUUUUUGGGGUUUUUUUUUGGUAUUUUUUAGUAGAGAUGGGGUUUCACCAGGUUAGCCAGGAUGGUCUCAAUCUCCUGACCUCGUGAUCCACCCGUCUCGGCCUCCCAAAGUGCUGGGAUUACAGGCUUGAGCCACCACACCCGGCUCAGGCCUGGUUUUAUACCCUCCUCAGUUCCCUUUGGCACCCGGAGAGGACUAGGGAGACAGUGGCCCCAGAAGUAGUUUAAAAUUUUUUUAUUAUUUUGAAAAGGGAUUACAUUCACGUGUUUCAAAAUCCAAACAAGAUAACAUGGCAUAGAGUAAGAAACCUUUCCCCCUUCCUACCCUGUAAUCCUGCUUUUCGUUUCCUGUGUGUCCUUUCAGAGCUCCUUUUGCUUUCAAAAGCAAAUACAGAUGGGGCAGCUUCUGAAUGGAUGGCCAAGUGACUCUGGAGCUUCCGUGCUGUGUGAGGACUGGGCUUUCUGUCCCUGUUCACCCUCAGGCUGCAGCCACCGCACGGGAGGAGAUGGUUCAGAUCGCACCUCUACCCUGACUCAGCACACACAGCUGUACUGUCAGGGGCUGCAAACCAACAUCUCUCAACACCUUCCUGGAAGCUGCAGCUGGACUCCCUUUGUACUCCAGAGGAGCAUCCUGGGAGGCCCAGGUCGGAGCUCCUGGAGGGUCCCUGGGCUCUGGGGGACAGAAGAACAGGCGAGCUGGAAGCUGUUUUGGGGAGCAGGAGGUAUGAGGGCAGUUGGAGGAUAAGUCUCCACAAGGCACAAGGAUAAGUCUCUUGUUUCUCUCUUUUCACCAAUGGCACUUGGCAGGGAGGAAGAAUCGAAAUGUGGCUUGCUGGGCUCUGUGGAUCUGGCACUGGAACAGCUGUCCAGGCUUUGGGGCCCCCAAUACCCCUACUGCUCUCCCUCAGGCCCCGGAUCUGUUUGGGCCCCCAGUGGGCGACCACUUUGUGCUGGUCCACCACAGGGAAAUAUUCUGGUGGUGGCAAGCUCUGCCCUGUUCUCAGAGAGCUCUGGCCGGGCCUGGUGGACAAAUCCCAGGCCAAGCCAUAGGAUUCGGACUCUGGGGCUAUAGAAGUUCCAGAAAGAGGACUAAAGCAGCAGCCCUGAGUAUCAGUCAGUGAAUGUGGCCUGACAUUGGCAGAUGGCUUUAGCACAGGCUUCCUGGACGGGGAGGAGGGAGACUGCACUGAACGGGUUUCUGAAGCUUGUUCCCUGACGCCGAGCAUUCCACCACAUCACUUAUAGAAUGUGCGGCUAUGAACAAGGGAUUUUGCUGCUCUGCUCCACAGUCUCCUUGUCUGUGAAAUGGGAGUAAUCGUAGAUUCGAAUCCAGAGGGUUGUUGGGAGGAUUCCAAACGUUUGUCGUGGUGCCUGGUGCAAAGCAAUUGCUCAACCAAGAUGAGCCACUAGGUUGCUAUUUCCAUCACUGUGAUUAGAGGAUGGAACGAAUAGGAAACGGUGGAGAAAGGAGGGGCAGGCGGCCCAGGUGGCUGCCGAAGUGGGACUAACAGCACCAAGGCUGGUCCUCCACCUCUCCCAGCACAAGGAGGGAAGCACAGGCUUCGAAGUUGCUGAAUUAUCUAGGGCCCUGCCCCAGCACCCAUACUCUGGGGACCAAAUUUUGCCAGCUUUUUGCCCCAGGUUCUCUAAUGACUGAUGCCAUCGGUUCUAGGUACAGUGAAUGGAUUGGGGAAAAUGUCUGGGGCCCAGGGCGGAGUAGGAAGUAAGUGCAUGUUUGCCUAUUGUGACCGUGCAGAAGACCACCUCUUCCAGGAGCUGAUGGGUGGGUGCAUCAGGCUGAGUCAGUCCACUGAGCCUCAGGAGGCAGGACAGGUCCUUUCCAGCUUUGGGCCUCUCUUUCCUCAUCUGUGCAAUGGGAAGGUGUGGCUGGACCCGGUGACCAGAAAGGCCCAGCUGUGAAUGGCUGUCUCUGGGCUGGCAGUCCAGGGCAGGAGCCAGAAGUGGAGGAUUGCGGGGGCGGGACUGCUUUUGAGGAGGGCCCCCCAGAGUGGAAGCGUGGGCCAGGAUAGGGCAGAGCCUGUCCCUCCCUCUUGCUGCCUGGCAGGUGACAGCUCCUCCACUCCCUGAACAAGGCGAGGCUGACUGACGAGAAGGCUGCAGAGCCAGGCUGUCAGCAAGUGUCCCCUGCCACCUUUGUGUGACUAAUUUGCAUAACAUUUGCACAAAUCUGCAUAAUUUAGGAACCAACCAGUAUUCAUCUCGGGCAGUACAAUUCGCUGUGAUUUUAUGAGCUUUGAAGUGACCCUUUCUUCUCCUGCCCACAGCCCCUCCUACCUUCCUUUGCUCUAAGUCUGGCCUGUCAUCCUGUUGUCUGCCUACUUCUCUGGGGCUGGUGGAUGGGCCUCCCAGGCUUUCUUGGGUCCCCAGAGAGGGCCCUUCUGCAGCUGCCAACUGGAGUUGCCUGUGAACUGUGACACUGGUCUCCGUGCAAUCCUCCAAGGGGCCAUCACGAAGGAGAUUUGAGGACCCUGAGAAAGCUCUACGUGGUUCAUCAGGAGUGGGUGAGGCCAGAGUGACCAAAGCCUCUUUUCUGACAGGGCACAAGGAUGCAGGUGUCUGGGCUCCCAUGAGGCUUUGCACUUGAUGCUGGUGAGGCCGGGAUAGUGCCCUGAGGAUCAAGGCGCAGGACAGGGCAGAGACUAUGACUGCCUACUCAAGCAGCUGCCCCCAAGGGAACCAACUCACAGAUUACUGUCAGUCCAGGUGGAUGUCCCUAGAGCAGUGCCACAGCGAUCUGUCCUUGCCCUUUCAACAUUUUUAUUCUUAGGUUAGUUAAGGCUUUCUUGGGUACAAGUAGCAUGAACUCCAAGUGGUUUAGGCAAAAGAAAAAAAAGAGAGGAUUUACUCUCUAAUGUAACUGAGAAAUCCAGGGGUAUAUGAUCUUCAGGCACAGCUGGAUCUAGAGGCUCAAACACUAGCAUGCCCCUCCUUUCUCCACCGUUUCCUAUUCGUCCCAUCCUCUAA
rnacentral:lncRNA from 1 species